GUGAAGUUCAGGUACAAAUUGCUCUUUAUUAUUUGAUUACAUGGUUAACUGUGCUGUUUUGUCGGCAGCUGAACACAGAGAGAUAUACAAGGAGUGUAAAUUGGAGGGGGGAAUCAGUUCAUGUAGAAAACAAAGCAAAAUUUCUAAUAACUUCCAGUAUAAGGUGCACCCUUCUGUUUCCCUUGUGUACUGUUGCAGCUCUAAUGCAGAUGUGAAUAUAUGAUGUCGCUUUUUGUUACACCUCCAGUAAUUGCACAGCACAUUGCAAGCUGCCUGAUUAAACCACAUUAUCUUAUGUGCUUAGCUGAGCAAAUCCACAGUUGUUGUGGGAGGAGUAUGGCAGGUUUAUUCCACCUGGUUGUAUCUACUGCUGCAGGAUGAAGCACUGCUGACCUUCCCUGUGAGUUCUACAUUUUUUGUUGAAACUCACUGACAAGCAACACAAUCCUUGCCUUACUGAGUGGAUGAUGAACUACCUCCAUGGGAGACCACUAGCUAAAGAUCCUGAAUUCCAGGUCAGGGAAGCUUUUGAACAGCACUGGAUACCUCGUGUAAUUGAUCCCUAAAGCUCCUUCAUACGUCUCUAUACCAUGGAUUUCCAACAAAGCACCAUGAGAAAACCACAAUCCAACAAAGCAACUUCCAGCAACACUUCUUUUAAAGGAGGAAUAGAGAAGCAUUCAUGACACCCAACAUAACCAGUCAUAAAGACAUGUUCCACCUGGUGAUGAAGGGUUAUUAUGUUGCUUUGUCAACAUUUUAUCACAUCCAUGGUUUUUCGAUCGGGUUUAGUAAAAAAAAAAAUCAUGACAUUUUCAUUAAAAUACAAAGUUAUUGAGUGUUUUAAUACACAGCAAGUUUUUCCUUGCUUCAAUAGUGUCUCACUGUUUCUGUCCGUCUGCAGUUGUUGCCUUCUAAUUUUACCACACACCCCUGCUUGCGCAACUUAUUGAUGAAUAUAUUUAUGCUCAGCAUCCGUCUGCUGUUGCCUCCCGCUGCCAGUUUAGUCUGUUAGUCAGCCUGAUUUCUCUCAACAACACAACAUGUUUGAGCUGAUUUCUGGUUUGUAACUGCAUGAGCUUUGUCAUCGUCAUCAUCCCUUGAAGACUGACUGCGCUUUAAGUUUGUCUCCUGACUCAAGCACCAUAUUUACACUACAGACAUGAGAGUAAUUUUGAUUUUCUUGUCUAACUCUGUAAUGCGUUUUCCUUUAAAUGUGUGCCCUUUUGGGGUAUGUUUGGCAUGCAUUCUACAUGACUGUGUGCUUGUCUGAGUUUUUGUUAAAGUCUGUGUGCAGCUGUGUGUCGGUGUAUCCGUUGUUUCAACACUGAGUCUGCACGUCAGGCAGCCCACAGAGUUUUGUCAAUAUCACUGGCUGGACUCCCCAACAACAGGCCCAAUCCUCUCAGCUUAUCUGCUGCCUCCACACGCACAAACACACACACACACACACACACACACACACACACACACACACACACACAGCUGUAUUGUCUGUAAUGAUACACCAGCUCUAUCUCCAUGAUGAACCUUAAUGCACCCUGACAUCUGCACCAGGCUUGAACAACCUAGUUAUUAAUGCAAGACACUAUGGGUUGUCUGCAGCAGCUCGUUGCAGCAGUGGAUUUCUGUUUCUAUUGUCGCUUUAGCUGUUCUGGUUCUCCUCAGCCCACCCACUGUAUAUCUUGUAAUGUGGCUCAUAUUGUUUUGAUGCUUGCUCUCUUCACCAGAUUUAAGUGAAGGUGUGAGAACUGAGUGUGAACAUGAAUAGCAGAGGUGUGAAUAAUGGAAGUUUCAGUAUGUGUGAGAUUGUUUGUGCUAAUUUCGGUGUGAAGAUAGUUUUUGUCGCACUGGUUGUGUUUCGUACUGUGACAGACAGAAAUUAGGGGGCAUUAGAGGGCGCCCGAAAGCUUAAUUCAGAACCAAGAAACUCCACAAAUUUAAAUUUGACAUUUUGAAUGAGCAACUGAAUUUCUUAAUAACAUUAAUAUUUCUGGAAAUGAAGUUAAACAGUAUGAAAUGCAAGGUCUCAUGUUUUGCGGUUGUUACAAACUUGGAGUUGUAAAGUAAAAGGUGUUAAGAUAUGAAGACAUUUACUUCUGCCAUUUUACCUCAAACCUCCCCACAGCUAGAUAGCCUCCCUGCUUUACAAGUUACUGCUUUUGAGUUACUAAAAGUCACCAAGCUCAAACAAUCAGAAGUCCAUCAGGUUUUUUACUUUCUACAGCUGCUUCUGCUAACUCUAAAAUGUCUCACCCACAAUCGAAGGGCACCAAAUGUUCUGCUGUUGGCUGCAAGAGUGAACACAUGAAUCUCCAUGCACUGCCGACAUUUAAGGAUCUGAAAACCCAAUGAAUAUUUUCAUUUUUGGUGGCAGUGUCUCCACAACAAGAAGAAAAUUCUCAGUGCUUUACGCCUAAUGUGGCUAACAAUAGAAUUUGCUUUGAUUUUUUUCCCCCCAUGUCAGAGCUCUAUGGAAACAGUAAAGCAGAGGGACAUUCUGAGAUUGAAGCUAAUAAACAAGGACUGGGCUGA